GAGAUAGAGCUUCCCCUUCGGGGGCAAAGUGACAGGUGGUGCAUGGUUGUCGUCAGCUCGUGUCGUGAGAUGUUGGGUUAAGUCCCGCAACGAGCGCAACCCUUAUUGUUAGUUGCCAUCAUUUAGUUGGGCACUCUAGCGAGACUGCCGGUGACAAACCGGAGGAAGGUGGGGAUGACGUCAAAUCAUCAUGCCCCUUAUGACCUGGGCUACACACGUGCUACAAUGGGAAGUACAACGAGUUGCGAAGUCGCGAGGCUAAGCUAAUCUCUUAAAGCUUCUCUCAGUUCGGAUUGUAGGCUGCAACUCGCCUACAUGAAGCCGGAAUCGCUAGUAAUCGCGGAUCAGCACGCCGCGGUGAAUACGUUCCCGGGCCUUGUACACACCGCCCGUCACACCACGAGAGUUUGUAACACCCGAAGUCGGUGAGGUAACCUUUUUGGAGCCAGCCGCCUAAGGUGGGAUAGAUGAUUGGGGUGAAGUCGUAACAAGGUAGCCGUAUCGGA
rnacentral:rRNA from 1 species